CACGUAGGGGGCGAGCGUUGUCCGGAUUUAUUGGGCGUAAAGAGCUCGUAGGCGGCUUGGUAAGUUGGGUGUGAAAACUCCAGGCUCAACCUGGAGACGCCACCCGAUACUGCCAUGGCUAGAGUCCGGCAGGGGAGCAUGGAAUUCCUGGUGUAGCGGUGGAAUGCGCAGAUAUCAGGAGGAACACCAGCGGCGAAGGCGGCGCUCUGGGCCGGAACUGACGCUGAGGAGCGAAAGCGUGGGUAGCAAACAGG
rnacentral:rRNA from 1 species